rnacentral:rRNA from 1 species
GAUCAUGGCUCAGGACGAACGCUGGCGGCGUGCUUAACACAUGCAAGUCGAACGAAGCUUGAUUACGGAUUCUUCGGAUGAAGUAUGAUAUGACUGAGUGGCGGACGGGUGAGUAACGCGUGAGUAACCUGCCCUUCAGAGGGGGAGUAGCGUUUGGUAAACGAACGGUAAUACCGCAUAAUGUAUUUUGUACCGCAUGAUCGAAAUAACCAAAGAUUUAUCGCUGAAGGAUGGACUCGCG